GACGAACGCUGGCGGCGUGCCUAAUACAUGCAAGUCGAACGCACAGUUUAUACCGUAGCUUGCUACACCAUAGACUGUGAGUUGCGAACGGGUGAGUAACGCGUAGGUAACCUGCCUGGUAGCGGGGGAUAACUAUUGGAAACGAUAGCUAAUACCGCAUAAUAUUGAUUAUUGCAUGAUAAUUGAUUGAUAGAUGCUAUUGCAUCACUACCAGAUGGACCUGCGUUGUAUUAGCUAGUAGGGGAGGUAACGGCUCACCUAGGCGACGGUACAUAGCCGACCCUGAAGGGAUGACGGCCACCCCUGGACUGGGACACGGCCCAGACCCCUUCGGGAAGCAGCCGUAGGGGAUCUUCGGCAAUGGACGGAAGUCUGACCCAGCAACGCCGCGGUGGGGAAGGAGGGUUUCGGGUCGUAAAGGUCUUUUUUAUGAGAAGAACGGGUGUGAGAGUGGAACGUUCACACUGUGACGGUAUCUUACCAGAAAGGGACGGCUAACUACGUG
rnacentral:rRNA from 1 species